UCAAGCAAGAAAGAGCACAAGGAGAAUGCCUUGGCACUAGGAGCCGAUGAAAGACGUGGUAAGCUGCGAAAAGCUUCGGGGAGGCGCAAACAGCCAUCGAUCCGGAGAUAUCUGAAUGGGGAAACCUACUUGAGCAAACCUCAAGUAUCCAUGCGUGAAUCCAUAGCGUAUGGAAGGGAACGCUGUGAACUGAAACAUCUAAGUAGCAGUAGGAGGAGAAAGAAAACUCGAUUUCCUAAGUAGCGGCGAGCGAACGGGAAAGAGGCCAAACCGAAGGACCUGGUUCUUCGGGGUUGCGGACUGCAUUUAGCAUUGCUGACGGAUAGACGAAUGGUUUUGGGAAAGCCAGCCGUAGACGGUGAAAGCCCGGUAGACGAAAUCUUGAAGCAGCGAGCAGGAUCCAGAGUACCACGAGACACGAGAAACCUUGUGGGAAGCCGGGGGGACCACCCCCCAAGCCUAAAUACUCCCUAGUGACCGAUAGUGAAGCAGUACUGUGAAGGAAAGGUGAAAAGGACCCCGGGAGGGGAGUGAAAGAGAACCUGAAACCUUGUGCUUACAAACAGUCAAAGGCCUACGGGCUGAUGGCGUACUUUUUGUAGAACGGUCCGGCGAGUUACUAAUGCCAGCGAGGUUAAGAUGUCAGAAGCAUCGGAGCCGAAGGGAAACCAAGUCUGAAUAGGGCGUAGAGUUGGUAUUAGUAGACCCGAAACCGGGUGACCUAUCCAUGUCCAGGUUGAAGGAACCGUAAAAGGUUUUGGAGGACCGAACACACAUGUGUUGAAAAACGUGGUGAUGAGGUGUGGAUAGCGGAGAAAUUCCAAUCGAACUCGGAGAUAGCUGGUUCUCCUCGAAAUAGCUUUAGGGCUAGCCUCGAGCUGGAGUCUAACGGAGGUAAAGCACUGAACUGACGCGGGGCCCAAAAAGGUUACCAACUCAUAUCAAACUAAGAAUGCCGUCAAGAUACCCUCGGGAGUCAGUCUGCGUGAGAUAAGUCGCGUGGACAAAAGGGAAAGAGCCCAGACCGACAGCUAAGGUCCCAAAGUACGUGUUAAGUGGAAAAGGAUGUGGGAUUUCAAAGACAACUAGGAUGUUGGCUUAGAAGCAGCCAUACAUUUAAAGAGUGCGUAAUAGCUCACUAGUCGAGAAAACCUGCGCCGAAAAUGUAACGGGGCUAAAACACGACACCGAAGCUACGGAUUUCCUACUAGGUAGGAAGUGGUAGAGGAGCAUCCUGCAAGGACGAAGCCAAAGUGAGAGCGAUGGUGGACGAAACAGGAGAGAGAAUGCCGGAAUGAGUAGCGAGAUACAUGUGAGAAACAUGUAGGCCGAAUAUCUAAGGAUUCCUGGGUAAAGCUAAUCUUCCCAGGGUUAGUCGGGGCCUAAGGCGAGGACGAAAGUCGUAGUCGAUGGAUAACAGGUUGAUAUUCCUGUACUACACAUAAUCAGAACUGUGGGGACGCAGGAGGAUAGGGAAACCGGGGAAUGGAAAGACCCGGUCAAGCGUAAAGCUGUGGGAGAUAGGCAAAUCCGUCUCCUGUAAGUGAAACGUGAUGAGGACUGAAAAAAAGUAAGGAAGUUUCCGAAUCCACACUGCCGAGAAAAGCCGCUAUUGCGUUAUGUGUACCCGUACCGUAAACCGACACAGGUAGAUGAGGAGAAAAUCCACAGGCCGACGGGAGAAGUGUUGUUAAGGAACUCGGCAAAAUGACCCCGUAACUUCGGGAUAAGGGGAGCCUCGCAAGAGGCCGCAGAAAAGAGGCACAAGCAACUGUUUAGCAAAAACAUAGGUCUAUGCGAAACCGUAAGGUGAAGUAUAUGGGCUGACGCCUGCCCGGUGCUGGAAGGUUAAAAGGAGAGGUCAGCGCAAGCGAAGCUUUGAAUUCAAGCCCCAGUAAACGGCGGCCGUAACUAUAACGGUCCUAAGGUAGCGAAAUUCCUUGUCAGGUAAGUUCUGACCCGC
rnacentral:rRNA from 1 species